AUUGAACGCUGGCGGCAGGCCUAACACAUGCAAGUCGAGCGAGCGGCGGACGGGUGAGUAAUGUCUGGGAAACUGCCUGUUGGAGGGGGAUAACUACUGGAAACGGUAGCUAAUACCGCAUACCAUCAGAUGUGCCCAGAGGGGAUUAGCUAGUAGGUGGGGUCACGGCCCACCUAGGCGACGAUCCCUAGCUGGUCUGAGAGGAUGACCAGCCACACUGGAACUGAGACACGGCCCAGACUCCUACGGGAGGCAGCAGUGGGGAAUAUUGCGCAAUGGGCGAAAGCCUGAUGCAGCCAUGCCGCGUGUGUGAAGAAGGCUUUCGGGUUGUAAAGCACUUUCAGCGGAGAAGCGUUACCCGCAGAAGAAGCAACGGCUAACUCCGUGCCAGCAGCCGCGGUAAUUC
rnacentral:rRNA from 1 species